UACGUAGGGUGCAAGCGUUAAUCGGAAUUACUGGGCGUAAAGCGUGCGCAGGCGGUUUUGUAAGUUUGUCGUGAAAGCCCCGGGCUCAACCUGGGAAUGGCGAUGAAGACUGCAAGGCUUGAAUCUGGCAGAGGGGGGUAGAAUUCCACGUGUAGCAGUGAAAUGCGUAGAGAUGUGGAGGAACACCGAUGGCGAAGGCAGCCCCCUGGGUCAAGAUUGACGCUCAUGCACGAAAGCGUGGGGGAGCAAACAGG
rnacentral:rRNA from 1 species